AGAUUGAACGCUGGCGGCAUGCCUAACACAUGCAAGUCGAACGGGAGUAGCAAUACUCUAGUGGCGGACGGGUGAGGAAUACGUAGGAAUUUGCCCUUAAGUGGGGGAUAACCCGGGGAAACCCGGAUUAAUACCGCAUGACCUCGAAAGAGCAAAGUGGGGGAUCGCAAGACCUCACGCUUUUGGAGAAGCCUACGUCGGAUUAGCUAGUUGGUGAGGUAAUGGCUCACCAAGGCGACGAUCCGUAACUGGUCUGAGAGGAUGAUCAGUCACACCGGAACUGAGACACGGUCCGGACUCCGUACGGGAGGCAGCAGGUGGGAAUAGUUGGACAAGUGGGCGCGAAGCCUGACUCCGAGCAAGUCGCCGCGUGUGUGAAGACGGCCGUUCGGUUAGUAAGCUAACGUUUAAGUAGGGAAAGUAAAACGUCG
rnacentral:rRNA from 1 species